rnacentral:rRNA from 1 species
GGGUUGUGAGGUUAAGCGACUAAGCGUACACGGUGGAUGCCCUGGCAGUCAGAGGCGAUGAAGGACGUGCUAAUCUGCGAAAAGCGUCGGUAAGGUGAUAUGAACCGUUAUAACCGGCGAUGUCCGAAUGGGGAAACCCAGUGCAAUUCGUUGCACUAUCGUUAACUGAAUACAUAGGUUAACGAGGCGAACCGGGGGAACUGAAACAUCUAAGUACCCCGAGGAAAAGAAAUCAACCGAGAUUCCCCCAGUAGCGGCGAGCGAACGGGGAGCAGCCCAGAGUCUGAAUCAGCUUGUGUGUUAGUGGAACGGUCUGGAAAGUCCGACGGUACAGGGUGAUAGUCCCGUACACCAAAAUGCACAGGCUGUGAACUCGAAGAGUAGGGCGGGACACGUGGUAUCCUGUCUGAAUAUGGGGGGACCAUCCUCCAAGGCUAAAUACUCCUGACUGACCGAUAGUGAACCAGUACCGUGAGGGAAAGGCGAAAAGAACCCCGGCGAGGGGAGUGAAAAAGAACCUGAAACCGUGUACGUACAAGCAGUGGGAGCACCUUCGGGUGUGACUGCGUACCUUUUGUAUAAUGGGUCAGCGACUUAUAUUCUGUAGCAAGGUUAACCGUAUAGGGGAGCCGCAGGGAAACCGAGUCUUAACUGGGCGUUAAGUUGCAGGGUAUAGACCCGAAACCCGGUGAUCUAGCCAUGGGCAGGUUGAAGGUUGGGUAACACUAACUGGAGGACCGAACCGACUAAUGUUGAAAAAUUAGCGGAUGACUUGUGGCUGGGGGUGAAAGGCCAAUCAAACCGGGAGAUAGCUGGUUCUCCCCGAAAGCUAUUUAGGUAGCGCCUCGUGAAUUCAUCUUCGGGGGUAGAGCACUGUUUCGGCUAGGGGGUCAUCCCGACUUACCAACCCGAUGCAAACUACGAAUACCGAAGAAUGUUAUCACGGGAGACACACGGCGGGUGCUAACGUCCGUCGUGAAGAGGGAAACAACCCAGACCGCCAGCUAAGGUCCCAAAGUCAUGGUUAAGUGGGAAACGAUGUGGGAAGGCACAGACAGCCAGGAUGUUGGCUUAGAAGCAGCCAUCAUUUAAAGAAAGCGUAAUAGCUCACUGGUCGAGUCGGCCUGCGCGGAAGAUGUAACGGGGCUAAACCAUGCACCGAAGCUGCGGCAGCGACACUAUGUGUUGUUGGGUAGGGGAGCGUUCUGUAAGCCUGCGAAGGUGACCUGUGAGGGUUGCUGGAGGUAUCAGAAGUGCGAAUGCUGACAUAAGUAACGAUAAAGCGGGUGAAAAGCCCGCUCGCCGGAAGACCAAGGGUUCCUGUCCAACGUUAAUCGGGGCAGGGUGAGUCGACCCCUAAGGCGAGGCCGAAAGGCGUAGUCGAUGGGAAACAGGUUAAUAUUCCUGUACUUGGUGUUACUGCGAAGGGGGGACGGAGAAGGCUAUGUUAGCCGGGCGACGGUUGUCCCGGUUUAAGCAUGUAGGCUGGUUAUCCAGGCAAAUCCGGAUAAUCAAGGCUGAGGUGUGAUGACGAGGCACUACGGUGCUGAAGUAACAAAUGCCCUGCUUCCAGGAAAAGCCUCUAAGCAUCAGGUAACAUCAAAUCGUACCCCAAACCGACACAGGUGGUCAGGUAGAGAAUACCAAGGCGCUUGAGAGAACUCGGGUGAAGGAACUAGGCAAAAUGGUGCCGUAACUUCGGGAGAAGGCACGCUGGUGUGUAGGUGAAGCCCCUGCGGGUGGAGCUGAGACCAGUCGAAGAUACCAGCUGGCUGCAACUGUUUAUUAAAAACACAGCACUGUGCAAACACGAAAGUGGACGUAUACGGUGUGACGCCUGCCCGGUGCCGGAAGGUUAAUUGAUGGGGUUAUCCGUAAGGAGAAGCUCUUGAUCGAAGCCCCGGUAAACGGCGGCCGUAACUAUAACGGUCCUAAGGUAGCGAAAUUCCUUGUCGGGUAAGUUCCGACCUGCACGAAUGGCGUAAUGAUGGCCAGGCUGUCUCCACCCGAGACUCAGUGAAAUUGAACUCGCUGUGAAGAUGCAGUGUACCCGCGGCAAGACGGAAAGACCCCGUGAACCUUUACUAUAGCUUGACACUGAACAUUGAGCCUUGAUGUGUAGGAUAGGUGGGAGGCUUUGAAGCGUGGACGCCAGUCUGCGUGGAGCCAACCUUGAAAUACCACCCUUUAAUGUUUGAUGUUCUAACGUUGGCCCCUUACCGGGGUUGCGGACAGUGUCUGGUGGGUAGUUUGACUGGGGCGGUCUCCUCCCAAAGCGUAACGGAGGAGCACGAAGGUUAGCUAAUCCUGGUCGGACAUCAGGAGGUUAGUGCAAUGGCAUAAGCUAGCUUGACUGCGAGCGUGACGGCGCGAGCAGGUGCGAAAGCAGGUCAUAGUGAUCCGGUGGUUCUGAAUGGAAGGGCCAUCGCUCAACGGAUAAAAGGUACUCCGGGGAUAACAGGCUGAUACCGCCCAAGAGUUCAUAUCGACGGCGGUGUUUGGCACCUCGAUGUCGGCUCAUCACAUCCUGGGGCUGAAGUAGGUCCCAAGGGUAUGGCUGUUCGCCAUUUAAAGUGGUACGCGAGCUGGGUUUAGAACGUCGUGAGACAGUUCGGUCCCUAUCUGCCGUGGGCGCUGGAGAAUUGAGGGGGGCUGCUCCUAGUACGAGAGGACCGGAGUGGACGCAUCACUGGUGUUCGGGUUGUCAUGCCAAUGGCACUGCCCGGUAGCUAAAUGCGGAAGAGAUAAGUGCUGAAAGCAUCUAAGCACGAAACUUGCCCCGAGAUGAGUUCUCCCUGAGACUUUAAGUCUCCUGAAGGAACGUUGAAGACGACGACGUUGAUAGGCCGGGUGUGUAAGCGCAGCGAUGCGUUGAGCUAACCGGUACUAAUGAACCGUGAGGCUUAACCUUACAACGCCGAAG